AAGAUUAGUGUCACGGAGGAAGUGAUUAGUGUCUUCGUCCUGGCUUCAAUUUUCUGCAUGUCGUGCUUAAAGUUAUGCAUUCUGCGAUUCCGUGAAGCAACGCUUGUGCGCACACCGAAGCUAGGAAGACUCGGAACAGCAUGACUGCAGGUGCCGGGGCCACAUUUGAGCUUCCGUAGCAGAGGACACCGCUGGAAAAGCGCGCUUCGUUACGAAAUAUGGGGCGGCAUAUAGUCAAGGUUGGCGCCCCAGAUUACGUCGGCUGCGAUACCCGCUGAACUUGUUACUUCUAUCCGGCCCGCCACAGCCCCCCGGGCAUAUCUGAUUUGUGGUGUGAUAGCAGCGUGUGUAUGUGUUGUGUAUAGUUGGCGCUAUUUUAUUUCGCUGAUGUGUGGAUACAUUGUGGACCAUUGAGCUAGUGCGCGUGAUAUCCUCUUUGUGGUAACGUUGAUGACUUUGCUUGUUGAAUACUGGUGGUGAAAAAAAAAAAUCUGUGGCUGCAAUAAGUGAUUGUGCACCGCCAAGUUGUGGUGCCUUGGAGAGAGACAUUGCACCGGAAAGCAGGCUGGCUUCACACCAUGCUUAGUGCUGAUCAAGCUGGAACCGCCCAACACCGCGCCUUGCUGGAUUCCUCCUGCGGGUUCGCACGAUGGAGCUGCUGAUGACCUGCGAGCCGACAGGCCCGGUGCUCUCGAAGAGCUGCUGACACAGGCGCAAGCAGCGGCCAAUGUCGGCGCAUUCUCAACGCAGCCUGCUGGCCUCCAAGCAAGACCACAAACAAGAGCUCCAUUGUCUACGGCGCGAAAUCUGUGGACGGAAACAGAGACCGCCGCACUCAUCGACCACUGGCGGGAUCGGCUAAGUGAUUUAAACCAGAAACGCAAUGCCAGAGUGUACCACGAAAUUGCUGACGCACUCCGCCUGCAAGGAUUUCGGCGAACAGCUGCGGAGGUUAAGAACAAGAUAAGGAACCUCACUCAGCUGUACCGGCAUUACUUGAGGACACUCCAGACAACUCCUUCCAUUGUGGUUGACUGGCCAUAUUUCAAGCGGAUCCAAUUGCUUCUGGGUUCCUCCCUGUAAAUGAUCAAACUGUUCAGCAAACUUCAGCCUUGGAAGUGCCGUUGAGGAAGUACCAAGAUUACAGUCACAUGGAAAUUACAGCGCAUUCUUAGUACCCAAGCAAUGUUGCAACCGUCUCGGGAAGUGGACACCUCUGGAACGAAAAAUCGCCAACCUUUUCACCUCAAUGAAAGCAGAUAGCUUCACAAGUUGCUGAAGAACCACCAUGUCCUUGCUUCUAGAUAGAAAAAAGUAGUAUGGAUCAAUAUCUUCUCAAUAAAUAUGUGCCACUGAAUUAAAGUGCUGUCGUUGUCAUUACACAGAAAUGGACACUUAUACCACAUGGCCUCACGUAACAGCUGCAUCUCCAUUUCUGAAAAAAAAUAAUUUUAAUGAAAUUUCGUUAGCUUGCUUGUAUCUAAGCCAUACCCGUAAUUUAGCUCUAGAAAUAUCUGUGAUGGCUUCAUUUCAUCAAUUGAACAUGUUUAAAAUAUUGUCCCGGCCACUGGCUAGCCCAACAUUUCUUCUAGCUUCAGCACAUGGUAUACACUAGAGUGGCAGUUGCCUUGUUCACCGUGGGUUCAAGAUCGCCACAAGUACUGCUUCUGCAAUUCUUUUUAAUACCAGAACGAUGGGCAACGCCCACUGUGAUGACCGAGCAAGACUAAACAUACCCUUUCACUGCAGUCGCCGAAGUUCCGCCUCUGCUAAAUCUUGCCGGGGAAGAAGUACAGUGCGGUGACUGCAAAACAUUGACCUCGCACUUUUCACUGCAGUCAUGUUAGCCUGCAGUGCACCAAAUUUUUCCAAGACUGUCAAUAAACUUUGAGUCACAAUGACAGACAAGGUCGCACCAUCGGUGACCCGGUGGACCUUGACAAUUUCUUUCCAGGGCACGUCGAAAGCUGUUCUGCAAUUUCCAUCCAGAAGAGCCGUUGCCCUGCCAGGCAUUGCAAACAGUGAUCUCGCUGUUCUUCCUCCAUACUCUGUGUUCACCAUUGCUUCGCCAGAGACCAACAAGAGCUGGGUAAAAUGUUCCCGUAACUUGACAACUGAUGGCUCUUUGCUGAUGUUGGAAGCCAUCUCCUAAACUUGCUUUCAUCCAUGACCACAACUUUAGCACUGGUUUUCAGUUCGGUUCUGACUGUCUUCCUUUGUACCCUAAUUGCUCCCAAAAUUGGCAGUAUCUUUUGCUUGGGCUUUUCACAUGUUGUGACUCUUCAUCAGUGUCGGGUCUGCGAUCUCCAAACUCGCAGGUUCUUGACGUUGCCUGUGUCUGAGUUGUCAUCAGGUGUUUCCUUCCUGUUGCCUUUGAAGUUGUCGACUGUGACGUGCACACAGACUUUUGCAGGUAGCCUCUCCAUGCUCUCUGUCACAGGACUUAUUGCCGCAUCAUCGACCCAACCUGUAAUCUGGUCAGUGUGGAAUGCAGCAGCCUU